rnacentral:rRNA from 1 species
UACGUAGGGGUCGAGCGUUGUCCGGAGUUACUGGGCGUAAAGCGCGCGCAGGUGGCUCAUUACGCCCGGCGUGAAAGCCCCCGGCCUAACCGGGGAAGGUCGUCGGGUACGGGUGAGCUUGAGGGUAUCAGGGGCUGGUGGAAUUCCCGGUGUAGUGGUGAAAUGCGUAGAGAUCGGGAGGAACACCCGUGGCGAAGGCGGCCAGCUGGGAUACUCCUGACACUGAGGCGCGAAGGCGUGGGGAGCGAACGGG